UACAGAGGUCUCAAGCGUUGUUCGGAUUCAUUGGGCGUAAAGGGUGCGUAGGCGGCGCGGUAAGUCGGGUGUGAAAUCUUGGAGCUUAACUCCGAAACUGCAUUCGAUACUGCCGUGCUUGAGGACUGGAGAGGAGACUGGAAUUUACGGUGUAGCGGUGAAAUGCGUAGAUAUCAGGAGGAAUACCGAUGGCGAAGGCAGGUCUCUGGGCUGACACUGACGCUCAUGCACGAAAGCGUGGGGAGCAAACAGG
rnacentral:rRNA from 1 species